ACGGGUGAGUAAUGUCUGGGAAACUGCCUGAUGGAGGGGGAUAACUACUGGAAACGGUAGCUAAUACCGCAUAACGUCGCAAGACCAAAGAGGGGGACCUUCGGGCCUCUUGCCAUCAGAUGUGCCCAGAUGGGAUUAGCUAGUAGGUGGGGUAACGGCUCACCUAGGCGACGAUCCCUAGCUGGUCUGAGAGGAUGACCAGCCACACUGGAACUGAGACACGGUCCAGACUCCUACGGGAGGCAGCAGUGGGGAAUAUUGCACAAUGGGCGCAAGCCUGAUGCAGCCAUGCCGCGUGUAUGAAGAAGGCCUUCGGGUUGUAAAGUACUUUCAGCGGGGAGGAAGGCGAUAAGGUUAGUAACCUUGUCGAUUGACGUUACCCGCAGAAGAAGCACCGGCUAACUCCGUGCCAGCAGCCGCGGUAAUACGGAGGGUGCAAGCGUUAAUCGGAAUUACUGGGCGUAAAGCGCACGCAGGCGGUCUGUCAAGUCGGAUGUGAAAUCCCCGGGCUCAACCUGGGAACUGCAUUCGAAACUGGCAGGCUAGAGUCUUGUAGAGGGGGGUAGAAUUCCAGGU
rnacentral:rRNA from 1 species